rnacentral:rRNA from 1 species
CCCUUAGAUGUUCUGGGCUGCACGCGCGCUACACUGAAGCUAUCAACACGUUUUCCCUCCCUGAGAAGGGCGGGUAACCUUUUGAAUCAGCUUCGUGGUAGGGAUCAGGGCUUGCAAUUGUUCCCCGUGAACCAGGAAUUCCUAGUAGACGCGAGUCAUAAGCUCGCAUCGAUUAAGUCCCUGCCCUUUGUACACACCGCCCGUCGCUACUACCGAUUGAACGUUUUAGUGAGGCAUUUGGACCGACGCAUCUCAGUUUAACCGCUGGUUUGUGUUGGAAAGACUUCCAAACUUGAGCGUUUAGAGGAAGUAAAAGUCGUAACA